UCCUACGGGGGGCAGCAGUGGGGGAUAUUGCACAAUGGGGGGAACCCUGAUGCAGCGACGCCGCGUGAGUGAAGAAGUAAUUCGUUAUGUAAAGCUCUAUCAGCAGGGAAGAAUAAAUGACGGUACCUGAGUAAGAAGCCCCGGCUAACUACGUGCCAGCAGCCGCGGUAAUACGUAGGGGGCAAGCGUUAUCCGGAUUUACUGGGUGUAAAGGGAGCGUAGACGGCAUUGCAAGUCUGAUGUGAAAGAUUGGGGCUCAACCCCAGGCCUGCAUUGGAAACUGUAAAGCUGGAGUACAGGAGAGG
rnacentral:rRNA from 1 species